UACGAAGGGGGCUAGCGUUGUUCGGAAUUACUGGGCGUAAAGGGCGCGUAGGCGGUGUGUCAAGUCAGGCGUGAAAGCCCCGGGCUCAACCUGGGAACCGCGCUUGAGACUGGCACGCUCGAGUUCGGGAGAGGAUGGUGGAAUUCCCAGUGUAGAGGUGAAAUUCGUAGAUAUUUGGGGAAGAACACCGAUGGCGAAGGCAGCCAUCUGGACCGACACUGACGCUGAGGCGCGAAAGCGUGGGGAGCAAACAGG
rnacentral:rRNA from 1 species